GAAUGGGUUGGCUGGGUGAGAAGAGGGUUGGAGUUAGUUGGUUACUUUGUGAGGAAGAAAGAGUCAGUGCUCUGAAGAGCUGCUCAUGAGAAAACACCAAGAAGUAAGGUGUUGGGAUUCCAUCAGCUCAGCAGCAGAGAUUUCUAUUCUUCACCAUAAAAAGCAAAAAAUGGGAGCAGCAAGUAAAGGUCUCAAGGGGCUUUCCAUCCAUGUGCUGCCUGCACUCUUGUCCCUUUUCUGAGGGACACCUGGUGUGGGACAGGGUGCAACAACUCUCCAGAUGUUCACAGAACUGGAGCUCCUCACCACCCUCUUUUGGGUCAAGUUCUGACACUACCUGAGGGGACCCAGAAGGUGAAUCUCUAAUUGUAAAGAUGGGACUUGCAUUCAGGAACACCCUCCCUCCAUGAAAGAUUUCUGGAAAAAGCUGGGCUUUUACACAUCUUGUAAUAAGGCUGAAAUAGCAGCAUAAUUUCCUGAGGCUGAGAGAAUCCUCUCUCUGUGCUGGCCAAGAGUGAUGCUAAGUUCAGGGAGACACCUUACUUCAGAUUUGGUUUUAGUGUUUUUAAGCCCAUACUGCUCACCACUCUACCCCAAAUGCUGUCUUUCACUGACAGCACCGCCAUGUGCUUUGUCUAGUCAACGCCUGGUGUUCCAUUGGAAUGACCAAACGGCUCAAAAUCACACUUCUAAUUUAAAAAGUGUUGCUGAAUACCGUUCUUCUUUUGGAUCAUGUGUGUGGUUGCUGGAGCCACCUGUUCCAUUUGCAUUUUCUCUCACAGCUGACCCACCCAGGUAAGCAGCACUACAUUAAACUAGCGAAAGAGAGCACCUAAUCCUCAGAAAAAACAAAUUCACCUUUAUUCAGGAAGAUUUUCCAAGGAUGUGCCCGGACUUAAGUGUCCAGUGCUGCCUGAGGGCUGGUUUCCAAAGGAACAGGGAAGUUUUCUCAGCAGUCCUUUCAUGGCUUGAGCAUCUGGCACAUCACACGCUCCUCACGCACUGACCUCUGACUGCCUACACUUGUCAUCGACAGCAACCAAAGUCCCCAGGACCAAUCCAAACUCUAGGAUUGCACCUGUCAUUAACAGCAAGCAAAGUCCUCAGGUCUCACCAAUCCAAACUCCAGGACUGAAAUAUGGAGCUUAAGAAAUGAUCCUGCUGCUGGCUGCCAUUGAAGUGCCUGCAUUUUCAUUUCACCAAUACUUGGUGAUAUAGACACCUCGUAUGAACACAGCAUCUUUCACUUCCUUUGUGCCACGAGGAUUAUGUAAUUUCUGGAGGUUGAAGCUGCACUGUUUAGGUAUUGAAUGGUUAUUUUGAAGAGUUUCAACAAUCAGCCCUCUCUGGUCAGUGCUGGCAAGGAGUCACCAACUUCAGUGAGAGCAAAGAUGAGCUAGCAGUACAUUGAAAUAAAGCCCACAGUACUUCUAUUUCAAUUAAUUUCUGACAACUACUCUCUGCAACCAGAAUAUUUUAAAGUUGAUGCAGCACACAUUUUUUUAUUUUAGGGGCUUUUUUUUUUUCACAGAGCCACCCAACAUGCGAGACUGAGAAAUCUCCACCUGAGUCUGUUAAUCCAUGGAAGGACAAAUUCUGUACAGACUUCACAUUAAAUAUUAAAAUAUUGAGACCCAUGCUAGCAUGAGAGAAUAUAAAAAUAUUCAUGCUUUUUUUCUUACAUCAUUAUUUAUCCCAAGUAAGUCACUGAUCAAAAGCCUACAUACUAAAUCUGUAAAAAAAAAAGGUUGCAUAUAUUAGCACAUACUGUUUAUUUAGGCUAGAUAGACUUUGAGAUUAUUUAGGUUCUAGUCUUUGAUAAUAUCUCACUAUGUCCUGAUCUUAUAUAGAAACCUCAGGUCACUCAAGUAGAAAAAGCUAUAAAAAAAUCUUGAUAGUAUAUGAACUGUUUCUAGUGUUCUCUAUCCAUGGAAAUUGAGGAAGCUGGUAUGUUUGUCCAGAAGAAGAUUAAAAUUUCAUUGCAAUUUCACUUGCUCAGUAAGCUUGGGGUGAUACUGGACACAGCUGUGUCACUUAUAUUUUUGGGGUCAAUUCAUGUGGUCAUAUCAGUCCUCAGAACAGGAGAGAAUCUCAUAGAUAAGCUAGAGUUAGUGCAAUAUGCUUUCAUGGAUUUUUUUUUUUCAGUCAGUUAAAUUAGUUUGUUUUUAUUCCAUGUAGGAUGAGUGGGUAUGUUAAAAAACCUACCAUAUUUUCUAAAGCAAAUUACUAUCUCAGGCUAAUACCAGACAUUCAUAUUAUUUGAAUGAAAUGUUCAAUAUUGAUGGUAGCUGAUUGUUUGUCUUUGCAUAGUGUCCUUAACGCAAACAAAUCUGUUAAGAAAUCUUCCAAGAAAUGUUUUUCAGCAGAAAGUAUUCAAUCAUCAAAGCCAAGGCUUUUAGAAAGGAGCAGACAUGGACAAAAACAUCUGGACAAAAAUAUCUUCAUACCAAAAUUUUGAUAAUACAUUGUUUUAAUAUUUUUGUCAUUAAUCUUUUUUAUUUUGUUUAAAAAUUUCAGCAUCUCUGACUUGUAUAUGGAUUAAAAAUGGGGAAAAUGUGCAAAUGGCUGUUAAAUAACUUAGAUUUAAAAGUAAACCAUUUAAUACUGAUAGCACAACCAGAGCAUAAGCAGGCAGCUUUUGGGAUUGGUGAGAAACAAGGAUUAGAGGUGGGAAUCAGGCAGAAAUCUGCCCUCAUGUUAUUUGUGCUCAACCAGUCAUUGUGACUGCAGAAUCCCAACAGGGGAGGCUGUUCAUUUUUAGACAUUAAACACAGCUCUUUUUUGUUGUGAAAAUGUGCUACCUGAUAAAAGGAUAUCAACUUUUUCUCAAAAGGCUGCAUUUUUUACACUUUUUAAAAAAUCAAUUUAAAGAAUGUCUUUUUUCUUUUAGAUCUUUCUAUGUGUUCGUACGUUAUUGUUUGCCUGUGAAACACCGCACAAAGUCCAUUUUUUGAGAAAGACUGUGUAUUCUUUUCAUCCCUGCUAGCUUAAGAAAGAAGAAAAAAGGCAGGGAGAAAGAAGAGGGGAAAAAUAAGGCAAUGCUUUCCCACAUAUUCCACCAGGAACCUCAUCUGGAAACUCCCAGGAGAUCCACGUUUGGCCUCACCAGGAACAGGAUAGAAAUAGCAAUAACAGUGUCUUUGACUUGCUGGAACUUUUGUGGCACCAACACAAAAGUUCCGCAGCACAAUUUCCUAUUUUGCAUUGUAUUUUCCUCCCCAAGAAUUCCGUGCCUCUGCAAUCUGGGUUGGAGGGCGGCACCCUCGAGUGCAGAUCAUGCUGAAUAAUAGGAGGAGGAGGAGCCUGCCAACCCUUCCUCUCCUUCUCUCCUGUUGUGGCACGAGGGAACUCAGCUGUGAAUGCUGGAUGACUCUGCAGUAUAAUUAGGGCUCCGGGUUUUAAUUCCAGUUUGCACAAUUAACUCCUUAGCAGCCUCAGGGGAUGACUCAGGUAUAAACCAGAGAUGUCCUGUGCCAUUUUAGGGUGCCCCAGAAUGCUGCAAAAGGCUGCUAGACUCUGGAAUGAACAGUAGAAGACACAAGUCUUUCUGAAGCUGCAGUAGGAGGCCACGCCCGGUGCACCAAAAAAUGGAAAUAUCAAUGUAUGGCUAGGCACCAAAAUCACUCUUCUCUAUUUGAAA